UACGUAGGGUGCAAGCGUUGUCCGGAAUUAUUGGGCGUAAAGAGCUCGUAGGCGGUUUGUCGCGUCUGCUGUGAAAACUCGGGGCUUAACCCCGGGCCUGCAGUGGGUACGGGCAGGCUAGAGUUCGGUAGGGGAGAUCGGAAUUCCUGGUGUAGCGGUGAAAUGCGCAGAUAUCAGGAGGAACACCGGUGGCGAAGGCGGAUCUCUGGGCCGAUACUGACGCUGAGGAGCGAAAGCGUGGGGAGCGAACAGG
rnacentral:rRNA from 1 species